AGAGAGAGAGAGAGAAAAGAAAGUGAAAAAGAAAAGCUUUGGGCCUCCACACCCGGUCCAAGUCCUUUAUUAUACCCAACUCCACCAAAAAUUUACACCCCAAAAUAAUACCCUAAUAAAAAUUACCUUUUACUAGCUAAAAUUUACCAUUUUUAUCGUAGUCAUAUUUUUCUCCUACGAAUAACUCUCCGAAAUAAUCGUCCCCCAAAACCCCUCUAGGGGACCAAUUAAACUAUAACUUCAUUGACGGAGACGGUAAAAUUCUUAUUAUAAUCAAGCUGGUAAAUAAGGUAAAAAUUUAAGGGUCCGGAUGUGACACUAAAAUCCUGCCACUAUGCCUCUGCCUCAACCCCUGCUGAUCAACACCUGCAGGUCUAACCCCUACACCAUGAAUUGGUGCACCGGGUUGUAAACAACAAACCCGGUAAGCUAAAAAGCUCGUAUGAGUAACUCUCAAAAAUAAUCUCAACCCUACAUCACAUAAGAUAAGACCGGUAAUUCCUGCUUUAGAACUUAGUUCAGGAAUCGCCUCAAAACAAUAAAAUUCAAAAGAGAGUAAAUAAGAAAACACAACAAUUCACAAACAAUCAAAAUCAUAAGUGAAUCAUGCAAAAAGGAUAGUUCAAGAAUUUCACUAAAAAUCACACAUAAAAUUAAAGAAUCUCCUGCAUUAAGCAUAGUUCAGGAGAUACUCAAAACAAGGAAUUUAAAUGACAAUAAUUAAAAACAAUAAUGAAACCACAUAACCAAUACUUUUACAAUAUACAUGUACCCAUGAGUCCCAGAUACCAAUAAGGUAUCUCCCAUGACCUACAACAAACACAUGUACCCAUGAGUCUCAGAUAUUAAUAAAUACCUCUCAUGACCUAUAACAACAAUUUAUGUAUACAUGGGUCCCAGAUACCUUAAGGUACCUCCCAUGACCUACACCGACAGAUGGACUAGAGCUCUAUUCCUAACCGUAACCAGUCACCCAGCCAAAGGCUUGGAACCCAGUUUGAUUGUCCAAUAUCAAAUCACAAAAUAAUAAUAGCAUCAUAACCGUAACCAAUCACCCGAUUAAAGGCUUGGAACCCGGUUUGACUAUUUAAACAACAAAUCACAAUAGAGUAUAAUCAUCAUAACCGUAACCAAUCACCCGAUUAAAGACUUGGAACCCGGUUUGAUUAUCUAAACCACAAAUCACAAUAUACUAAAAUCAUCAUCAAUCAACACAAGGAGCACAUCAUAAAAAUUAUAUCCUUCCACAUAGAUAUAUUUAUACGAACAAACAUAGAUAUUCCCACAAGAAUAAUCUAUCAAUAGCCAAAAACAUUAUGAUCACAUGAACCUUAAAAAUAAUCAUAUAAUAGGAAAACUUGUUUUAACUUACCUAUGAGCCGUUGGCGAUCAAGCUCAUAUAUUUUAAAACAAACAAAAACAUAAUUUUUAAAUUAUAAUCAUCAUAAUCCUCAUCAUCAUUUUAUCAUCAUAAUCAUUAUCAUCAUCACAAUCCUCAUCAUAAUCAUCAUCAUCACAAACAUCAUCAUCAUAAUCAUUAUCAUCAACACAAUAAUUAUAAAAAAUCAUCAUCAAUAAAUAAUUCAUCAAUAAUUGGUCCCAAGUGAACCUUAGUGAGAUGUUACUCACCUAAUAAUCCCACUGCGUCUUCACCAAAAUCACAAGGAACAAGCUCACUAACAACUCCACAAGCUACCUAAUUAGCACAAAUUAUAACCUUAGUAACCACUCAACAAGGAUCAAAGUACCCUUAACCAACCCUUAGCCUAAAGGUUACCCAAAGGAGGGCAAUCCUUCCUCUGAGACCUCCCAUGGUCAUUGGACGUCACUCGACAACAACCAUGCUGCCUCCCAGUUCAAACUUUUAAAGUUUACAACCUAACUAACACAAAUAAUAACAUAGCACCAAGAUGUAAAACCUAAUCAACACUUAGCCUUUACACACAACAACACACUAGCAACUACAAGGACUAGUUAACACAGCAACCAAAGCCCCUCACACUGCCCGAACACGCGCCACCAUAGGCGACGACGAGUGAGCCCCACGCCCCUCCACCAACUUCAAAAUUUGGGGAAACUCACAACAUGAAACUUGUAGAACACAUCAAAUGGAACACUUUUCAUACCUGUGGCUAAAGCCAAUUCGGCCGGAAACGUCACCGGAAAGAAACAAGGAGCACUUUGAACUUAAAAGCUCCACGCUUCGAAUUGGGCUUCAAGGCUGGUAUCAUCAUGCUUAGAAGGACAAGAACUUCCAGAAGUGGGUAGCCUCAAACCUCGAUGUCGCCGGAAUCGGUCGAAGCUUCACCGCCGGCGGCAACAGUAACUUGCGGGCCUUGCUGCGCCGUGCACAGUGCUCCAUAGGGUGUGAGGCUGGUAUGAAUAGAAAGAGGGGAGUGAGAGCUUUCCAACGAUACCAAGCACGCUCAAAUCCGUCGCCGGAUGGCCGAGUUAUGGCCGGAAGAAGUUUGAGGGUGAAAAUGGAGACAGGAGAGAGAGAGAGACUGCAGGAGUCAUUCUGUAAUUUUAGGGUUUCUGAAAAUAACCCACACAAUUUUCUAUUUAUACACCUUCCAAAAUCGGAAACUAACUUCUUCUGACCAUAACUUUUUCAUACGACAUCCGUUUUACGCGUGCCUCGUGCCGCUUGUCUACGAACUCGUAUCGCCAAACUCUACAAUUUUCAUGAAGGAAAUUUUUGAAAAUAACUUACGGAAAAUAAAGUCAACUUUUGGUCUCUUAAAAGUCAAAGCACCUUAAAAUUUACUCCCGAAACUUCAACUUCACACAAUUAAAGAAUUUCCACAAAUAAUCCUUCAUUAAUUUCUGAAAUAAUACAAAAAAAAUAAUAUGAAAAUAUGGGGUAUUACAGUGAUAAACAGUUAUGUGGCAAACGCAUGAUAUUAAAAAUCGAAGAUCUAUCUACAUCGUCCGACAGAGUAAAAAGCAUAUUGAUUUGGAGGAUGAUGAGAUCGCAACACCCCUAUGAGAACAAACUCGACUAGUCCAAAACAUGCACGGACACCACAAACCACAAUCAAACUGUCCUUUUAGUGAGGGCCUUUAAAUUAAGAAUUAGUUGAAGAGUUUUUGAUUUUAGGUCUAUAUAAGUAUAUAUCAGUCCUCUUGAUCUACGCGGGAAUAGAUAUCGCUUGUGACUCAAUUUCUAGAGUUCCCAAACUAGCACAAUAAAGCUGCGCUUGUUUAAACCCAAACAACUUUCUGCAGCUCAUAUUUUGACCAGGCUAGGAUUGGCCUGCUUUUGCUGUCAUUGAGAUUCGGUCUACGAGCAGGAAAUGUGAAAUUGACAACUGGGUUGGCAUUAGCUAGUCCCACUUGUUAACUAGUCAAAACCUUAUAAAAAAAGUAGAACGUUUUCCAACUAAUCCAUUAUUCACUUUUGAAUGUACUAAGAAAUUUACCAACAUCGAUCCAAUAGUACGUACUCGAUUUGAUAUCCAAUAACUUGGAGGCCGGUUUAGAAGGUCAAACCAGCAGUACUAGCUAGCUUAGCUUAAUGGAUUUGGUAAUUUG
rnacentral:lncRNA from 1 species